rnacentral:rRNA from 1 species
GACAAACGCUGGCGGCAUGCCUAACACAUGCAAGUCGAACGGACAGAACAGGGAAGCUUUUCGGAGUGGAACUGGAAAGUUAGUGGCGGAUGGGUGAGUAACGCGUGGACAACCUACCUUGUAAAGGGGAAUAACCUCGAGAAAUCGAAGCUAAUACCCCAUAAUAACCUUGCUUCGCAUGAAGUAAGGAGGAAAGGCGGCCUUAGCGCUGUCGAUACAAGAUGGGUCCGCGUCUGAUUAGCUAGUUGGUGAGGUAAAGGCUCACCAAGGCGACGAUUAGUAGCCGGCCUGAGAGGGUGAACGGCCACAUUGGGACUGAGACACGGCCCAAACUCCUACGGGAGGCAGCAGUGGGGAAUCUUCCGCAAUGGGCGAAAGCCUGACGGAGCAAUGCCGCGUGAGUGAAGAAGGCCUUCGGGUUGUAAAACUCUGUCCUUAUCGAAGAGAGAGUGUUGUAGUAACUGACAAUACUAGGACGGUAGAUGAGGAGGAAGCCCCGGCUAACUAUGUG